AGUGCAGUCAUCAUUUCCAAUCCGAGCAGGCCAGCGUCAAGUUCAGGUGGUCGUCUAAUACGUCCACAACUUGCCUGUGAACAACGACAUUGAGGAAACUAAGAGAGGUCGGACAAAUGUGUAAUGUUGGGCUCCUUCCAGUCUUCUUGGGAUCAUCUUCGAGUCCGGUUUUGGAGGGUUUCGCUCACUGGUGUCCCAUCAGACAACGAUGCGGAAGGUUCAUAGAUGCAGCUUUUCAAAACUAUCAGCUAAACCUGUAUAAGACUGACCUUCUACUGAUCCCAAACUAGGGCCAACUCCGUCACAUUGUCAACCCCAAUUAGGCAUCUGCCCCAAACAAGGUGAUCUUACUGAGUCAUUGUCCCUCAAUAGUGUAGCAAGCGAUCCGAGGCUAAAGUACUAGACCCAUAUCUUUAUGUUUGUAUGUCCAUCCAUUAUCUUUAUUGCUAUUGUUUUGCUUUUGGUAAGUAAUUUAUUGAUGCAGUCAUGCACUACUCAGAGAUGGCAUUUUUUGAUUC